CAGAUCCUGGGAGGGGCUGCCCCUGGGGCUCUCCAGAACCAGGGCUUCUGAGCCACACCCUUCCCACAG
rnacentral:miRNA from 1 species